GGCAGCUUGCCCGAGUGGCCAAAGGGAGCGGUCUGUAAAACCGUCGGCUCAGCCUACGAUGGUUCGAAUCCAUCAGCUGCCACCA
rnacentral:tRNA from 1 species